UACGUAGGGAGCAAGCGUUGUCCGGAAUCAUUGGGCGUAAAGCGCGCGUAGGCGGCCUCAUAAGUCCGUUGUGAAAGUCAAAGGCUCAACCUUUGAAAGCCGAUGGAUACUGUGAGGCUAGAGUCCGGAAGAGGCGAGUGGAAUUCCUGGUGUAGCGGUGGAAUGCGCAGAUAUCAGGAGGAACACCGGUGGCGAAGGCGGGUCUCUGGGCCGAUACUGACGCUGAGGAGCGAAAGCGUGGGGAGCGAACAGG
rnacentral:rRNA from 1 species